GACGAACGCUGGCGGCGUGCUUAACACAUGCAAGUCGAACGGAAAGGCCCUGCUUUUGUGGGGUGCUCGAGUGGCGAACGGGUGAGUAACACGUGAGUAACCUGCCCUUGACUUUGGGAUAACUUCAGGAAACUGGGGCUAAUACCGGAUAGGAGCUCCUGCUGCAUGGUGGGGGUUGGAAAGUUUCGGCGGUUGGGGAUGGACUCGCGGCUUAUCAGCUUGUUGGUGGGGUAGUGGCUUACCAAGGCUUUGACGGGUAGCCGGCCUGAGAGGGUGACCGGCCACAUUGGGACUGAGAUACGGCCCAGACUCCUACGGGAGGCAGCAGUGGGGAAUAUUGCACAAUGGGCGGAAGCCUGAUGCAGCAACGCCGCGUGCGGGAUGACGGCCUUCGGGUUGUAAACCGCUUUCGCCUGUGACGAAGCGUGAGUGACGGUAAUGGGUAAAGAAGCACCGGCUAACUACGUGCCAGCAGCCGCGGUGAUACGUAGGGUGCGAGCGUUGUCCGGAUUUAUUGGGCGUAGAGGGCUCGUAGGUGGUUGAUCGCGUCGGAAGUGUAAUCUUGGGGCUUAACCCUGAGCGUGCUUUCGAUACGGGUUGACUUGAGGAAGGUAGGGGAGAAUGGAAUUCCUGGUGGAGCGGUGGAAUGCGCAGAUAUCAGGAGGAACACCAGUGGCGAAGGCGGUUCUCUGGGCCUUUCCUGACGCUGAGGAGCGAAAGCGUGGGGAGCGAACAGGCUUAGAUACCCUGGUAGUCCACGCUGUAAACGGUGGGUACUAGGUGUGGGGUCCAUUCCACGGGUUCCGUGCCGUAGCUAACGCUUUAAGUACCCCGCCUGGGGAGUACGGCCGCAAGGCUAAAACUCAAAGGAAUUGACGGGGCCCCGCACAAGCGGCGGAGCAUGCGGAUUAAUUCGAUGCAACGCGUAGAACCUUACCUGGGUUUGACAUGGAUCGGGAGUGCUCAGAGAUGGGUGUGCCUCUUUUGGGGUCGGUUCACAGGUGGUGCAUGGCUGUCGUCAGCUCGUGUCGUGAGAUGUUGGGUUAAGUCCCGCAACGAGCGCAACCCUUGUUCACUGUUGCCAGCACGUUAUGGUGGGGACUCAGUGGAGACCGCCGGGGUCAACUCGGAGGAAGGUGGGGAUGACGUCAAGUCAUCAUGCCCCUUAUGUCCAGGGCUUCACGCAUGCUACAAUGGCUGGUACAGAGAGUGGCGAGCCUGUGAGGGUGAGCGAAUCUCGGAAAGCCGGUCUCAGUUCGGAUUGGGGUCUGCAACUCGACCUCAUGAAGUCGGAGUCGCUAGUAAUCGCAGAUCAGCAACGCUGCGGUGAAUACGUUCCCGGG
rnacentral:rRNA from 1 species